UAUUAAAAAUUCCAUUCAUUUUUACUAUUAAAAACGGGCACAGUUGAUGAAACAACCAAAUAGUAACAUUUCACAUGCCAUGUAUACCUCAUGCACAUACAUGGACCAAAAUUUAAUAAUAGAAAUGGAUAAAAUUUUCAACA
rnacentral:pre_miRNA from 1 species